GCGCACGCUGGCGGCAGGCCUAACCCCUGCCAGUCGCACGAACCUUUCGGGGUUAGUGGCGGACGGGUGAGUAACACGUGGGAACGUGCCUUUAGGUUCGGAAUAACUCAGGGAAACUUGUGCUAAUACCGAAUGUGCCCUUCGGGGGAAAGAUUUAUCGCCUUUAGAGCGGCCCGCGUCUGAUUAGCUAGUUGGUUGAGGUAAUGGCUCACCAAGGCGACGAUCAGUAGCUGGUCUGAGAGGAUGAUCAGCCACAUUGGGACUGAGACACGGCCCAAACUCCUACGGGAGGCAGCAGUGGGGAAUCUUGCGCAAUGGGCGAAAGCCUGACGCAGCCAUGCCGCGUGAAUGAUGAAGGUCUUAGGAUUGUAAAAUUCUUUCACCGGGGACGAUAAUGACGGUACCCGGAGAAGAAGCCCCGGCUAACUUCGUG
rnacentral:rRNA from 1 species